GGCAGAUGACUGCCCCUGAACAAGAGAGCGAGCGCAGAGAUAAAGACAGACUGGUGAAACUUCGUACUCUUGGAAAUAUUCGAUUAAUUGGAGAGCUUCUGAAGCAAAAGAUGGUGCCUGAGAAGAUUGUCCACCACAUUGUCCAGGAACUCCUAGGACCAGAUAACAAAACCUGUCCAGCUGAAGAAAACGUCGAGGCCAUCUGUCAAUUCUUUAACACCAUAGGUAAGCAGCUAGAUGAGAACACUAAGUCGCGUCGUAUUAAUGACAUGUACUUUGGCCGAUUGAAAGAACUGACCACACACACUCAGUUGGCCCCACGAUUGAAGUUCAUGGUCCGUGAUGUUCUUGAUUUGCGUGCUAACAAUUGGAUUCCUAGGCGUGAGGAGGUUAAAGCCAAAACUAUAAAUGAAAUACAUUCAGAGGCAGAAAAAAAUCUAGGACUACGUCCUGGUGCUACUAUUAAUAUCAGAAAUAGUCGCGUUGUGUCCGGUUCUCCUGGGAACACUAGCCCUGGGGGCUUUCCGAUCAAUCGACCUGGUUUUGGGGGCAUGAUGCCUGGCAUGCCAGGAACCAGGAAGAUGCCUGGUAUGCCAGGAAUGGAUAAUGACAAUUGGGAGGUACCUAGGGCCCGACCUGUACCAAGC
rnacentral:misc_RNA from 1 species